UUGAGCUCAGAUCAGGUAGGACUACCGCCUGAACUUAAGCAUAUCAAUAAGGCGAGGAACAGAAACCAACAGGGAUUCCCCUAGUAGUGGCGAAUGAAGCGGGAAAAGCUCAAGUUUGAAAUCUGGCGGGUGACCUCCAGAGUUGUAAGCUGAAGAGGCAUAGACCGACGCGGUCCGGGCUCAAUUUCCUUGGAACAGGAGGUCAUGGAGGGUGAGAACCCCGUCUGUGGCUUGGGUGCCGUCGUCCUUGUGUCUUGCCCUCGUAGAGUCCGGGUUGUUUGGGAAUGCAGCUCAAAAUGGGUGGUAAAUUUCCAUCUAAGGCUAAAUAUUGGCGAGAGACCGAUAGCAAACAAGUAGAGUGAUCGAAAGAUGAAAAGUACUUGAAAA
rnacentral:rRNA from 1 species